rnacentral:rRNA from 1 species
UACGAAGGGGGCUAGCGUUGCUCGGAAUUACUGGGCGUAAAGGGAGCGUAGGCGGAUAGUUUAGUCAGAGGUGAAAGCCCAGGGCUCAACCUUGGAAUUGCCUUUAAUACUGGCGGCCUUGAGUAUGGCAGAGGUGUGUGGAACUCCGAGUGUAGAGGUGAAAAUUCGUAGAUAUUCGGAAGAACACCAGUGGCGAAGGCGACACACUGGGCCAUUACUGACGCUGAGGCGCGAAAGCGUGGGGAGCAAACAGG